ncrna:length=2464
AUGGCGUUCAGCUUACUCAGCUGGUUGUAUGAUGUUAUCCGGAAUUCCUUCAGUUCAUCACAACCUCCUUGAGUAAGCGGACUGCUUU